rnacentral:lncRNA from 1 species
GUGUAGUAUUUAUAAGAUUUUAACAUUGUUUAAUAAGGAACAUACGCUACUUGUGUUUUUUUUACUUUUUAGUGACAAAAUUCUUUGUACAGUCAUUUGGUUGUAAAUGCAAAAGUAAACAUGCAUGACCUUAAGGAUUGUUGUCGUCAUAAUACCUUUACGCUGCAUCAUUCUAUUUGUGGUGUUCCUCGUCAUUCAGACCUGAACGUUAUUACGUUGCACAUGCACAUGUCAUUCUUUUCUUGUCUUUUAAACAAAUUGAUCAAUUUCAUUGUACCUUUUCGGUUACCAAUUUUCUUACUAUACAGUUUCAUUUAAGUAUCUCCAU